rnacentral:rRNA from 1 species
AAGGCUAAAUACUCCUGACUGACCGAUAGUGAACCAGUACCGUGAGGGAAAGGCGAAAAGAACCCCGGCGAGGGGAGUGAAAAAGAACCUGAAACCGUGUACGUACAAGCAGUGGGAGCCCUACCACCAAAGCAUUCUCUGGUGUUGAAGGCCCUGCAAAGCAGCAUCGCGGUGGCGGAGCGUCGUUUGCGACGCCCAACACACAAAACAAGCGGUGAGUGCUUUGGGGUGGGGUGACUGCGUACCUUUUGUAUAAUGGGUCAGCGACUUAUAUUCUGUAGCAAGGUUAACCG